GGGAUUGGAACUGUUUGUUACAGCCUUUUCCAAGAGGGCAGUGGUUCUGUAUGUGUUUUGUGAGGCUUAAUGGUACUUGGAUUUGCUGGAGCAAAAAAAUUGAGUAGAUACUCAUCAUUGUGAAAUGUAAACUCAGAGCUCAGUUGGAAUGUUCUCUGCUAGUGGAAACCAACUAGUGUGGUUUUUGCAGAACCUGUGAGGGAAAUACAAGAAAUAAAUUGUAGGAUACACUUUGGAUAAAAUUGAAUCUCAUGUUUGGUCUUAGUUUCUUCUUUACUUCCUGCCUCACGCUGCACAUACUUACAGACAUCCACAUUCACAACCCCGUCUUCUUAGGCCUGUUAAGUAACUUGCGAAGAAUCUAGAAGUGUUGGUAAAGUUACAGUCAUUUUGUAAGGAUGUUCUGGGGAGAGAGACAAUCACAAGAACCAAAGCAAAUACCAAAGAUCACUAUAGUCAAAAGCAUGGUUUUUAAAUUCUUAAUGUGUCUCUCUAUCUUAGAAUAAAACAUUAUAAAUUUAAAGGAAUCCCAAGGAGCUUUUGUAUAUAUCUUUCUAUAAGCCGGAACCUCAAACUUGUCAUAGAGUUGUCUAGCAACUUAUAAAUGUCCAUGGGAGAGAGAUUACAAAAGUUAUCAGGAUAGAACGUUGUUCUACAAUCUAUAAAUACAAGGAAUGCUUUUUAGAUAGUAAUUACCUUUUUGUGAAAUUCUUUUGUUGUUUGAGGAUUAAAUGAAAUAAAACAUGAUAUAAAGAGCUUAACGCACAGUACCUGAUAACAUAAUAAGCAUGCAAACAUUCACUGCUGUUAUUACUAUCCAUUUGAGUUUAAUGGUUAUUUUAAUUAAUUGAUGGCUUGUUUGCUUAAUUAAACGACCUGUCAGAAUUUAGCAAGCUAAAAUGGAAACCAAGUGAAAACUGGUACUGGUAGACUGAUUUUAGAAAUACCUUCUUAGGCUGGGUGUGAGCCGCCGCACCCGGCCUGUAAAAUUCUUUUUAGAAGGGAAAUUUAACUUUGUAUGUUCUUUACCAGA
rnacentral:lncRNA from 1 species